CCUACGGGUGGCAGCAGUAGGGAAUUUUGUGCAAUGGGCGAAAGCCUGACGCAGCAACGCCGCGUGAUUGAUUAAGCCCUUCGGGGUGUAAAGCUCUAUCAGCAGGGAAGAAAAUGACGGUACCUGAUUAAGAAGCCCCGGCUAACUACGUGCCAGCAGCCGCGGUAAUACGUAGGGGGCAAGCGUUAUCCGGAUUUACUGGGUGUAAAGGGAGCGUAGACGGCAGCACAAGUCUGGAGUGAAAUGCCGGGGCUUAACCCCGGAACUGCUUUGGAAACUGUGCAGCUAGAGUGCAGGAGAGGUAAGUGGAAUUCCUAGUGUAGCGGUGAAAUGCGUAGAUAUUAGGAGGAACACCAGUGGCGAAGGCGGCUUACUGGACUGUAACUGACGUUGAGGCUCGAAAGCGUGGGGAGCAAACAGGAUUAGAUACCCCAGUAGUC
rnacentral:rRNA from 1 species